CCCCUGCUUUAAUUCUGUUCUGAUCAGUAGCACCUGUUAUCAUUUACUCAUUAUCCCUGCUAUAUAUACCAUGCUCACUCUGUCUGUCAUUGCGUCUGGAUUACAUUGUCUUCUUGGUUGGUGUUGUCGGUGUCAGGUUUCGGAUUACAUUUUGCAACGUUUUGUUCUGUUUUGUCCUGUUAUUAUUUGCAAUAAACUGCACAUGGAACUUACCCUGUUUCCUCCUGGCAUUCCGUGACAGAAUCCAGACGCCAUUACUAGUUCCAGCAGUUUGUUUUUGUUACCUUUUUGGAUCAUGGACGAUCGGAUGGUUCCUCCUCCUUCGAAGGAGCGCAGGGCUCGGCUCCGGAUGUUGGCGGACCUUCGCCAACGGGGGAUGGACUUUGGAGAUUUCGCUCAGUCCUUUUGGAGUCUUGCGGUAGGGAUGGGACUUCAUGACACGGAUUUGAAGAAAAUCUUUAAUGUUAGUUUAGACAAUCCCGUGCCUACUCGGGAGAUGGAUGGGCUUAAAAUGCUUGACUUUUGGGGCCUCAUUGAUUACCUUGGUUACCGCAACUUGGUGAUCUCAUGUCGGUCUAAGUCUCUGGCAGUUCCCCGGGAGAUGCAGGAGCCCGCUCCAGCCCCGGAGUUCACGGAGCCCGCUCCAGCCCCGGAGUUCACGGAGCCCGCUCCAGCCCCGGAGUUCACGGAGCCCGCUCCAGCCCCGGAGUUCACGGAGCCCGCUCCAGCCCCGGAGUUCACGGAGCCCGCUCCAGCCCCGGAGUUCACGGAGCCCGCUCCAGCCCCGGAGUUCACGGAGCCCGCUCCAGCCCCGGAGUUCACGGAGCCCGCUCCAGCCCCGGAGUUCACGGAGCCCGCUCCAGCCCCGGAGUUCAUCACCUCUGUCUUUCAGACUCCCACUAAGCGGCGGAGGGUGAGAAGGAGGACAGGAAGACACACUUCACAGCCCACUCCAGUCCCGGAUUGCACGGAGUCCGCUCCAGUCCCGGAUUGCACGGAGCACGCUCCAGUCCCGGAUUGCACGGAGCNNNNNNNNNNNNNNNNNNNNNNNNNNNNNAGCUGCUU
rnacentral:lncRNA from 1 species